ensembl:lncRNA
CCAGAAUGUAGGCAAUGGAAACGAAGGUCUACGGUGGCGUGAGAAGAGCUGGAUGGUGAAGUCGAAGGUGAAGGUGAAGGCGGUCAAUGGAUGAAACCAGGAACAGACCGGAACACUGACACGAAGACGACAACACGAACACAAUCCAGCACAUGACCACGGAAGACGGUAAUCCAACUAGGAAGUGGAGACAUGAAUGAGGAUCUGACAACAGACAGAGAGAUGAGUGAGUAUAUGUAGCUGAGUGGAGAUGAGGAUCAGCUGGAGCGAGACAAUCAACACACAGGUGACAACAAUCAACCAAACGAGCACAUGGAGACUACCACCGGUGUUCUGACUGGGACACGGCAUCACAGUAAGGCAAGGGGAGUAACAUUUCCAUCACACGCCUUUGUGGAGUGGACACUGGCGAGAAAUGGAUCUCCAUUCCCCGGCGGUUCCAAGGAGUUUAUCGCCAGUGCCAUUCCUGACCCAGAGCCCAGCCCACCAUCUCCCCCGCAGUAUGAAGCAUCAGCCUGAGCCCACUGAUGACGGAGAGCCAUUUCCCACUGUGAUCUCCGAGCCAGAGCAAAGCCAAUCGACUGAGCAGAGGAUCGCCCCGGAAGUUGAGCCCAAUCCAUCAGACCAGGUGCGAGAGCCGACUACAGAGCCCACCACGAGGAAGAAAGCUGUGGAUGGUGUGAGUGUGGAGAGGAGCUCCACCCACUGCAUCGCGGCUGAGUAUGGUGCGGCAUUGGUGCCAAAAUGAAGAGGGGAGGGCUCCAGCCCCCAAAUCCAAUUUAGAGCACCCUCCAAUACCCGCUCCUCGAAAAUGCCCAGCCUCCCACCCGCUCCAGCCUCCUCCACUGCUGUCAUCUGCCCCUCUGCUCGCCAUCAGCCCACCAUCAUUACAGUGCGAGCCCCACGGGACUGUCAUCCUCCAGUAUCCCUCACCUCCAGGCUCCGAAGCCCCGACUCCACCUCAGCCCGUAGACACAGCAGCUCCACCUCGGCUUCUAGCUCCCUCGCCUCCACCAUCAGCCGUCGAUCCAUCUGCUCCACCGGGCUCCUUCGUCCCUCUGGCUCCACCUUGAUUGGCCGUUGACCCACCAUCGCCUCUGGACUCCUCUCCUCUGGCUACCCCUUCUUCACUCCAUCCCACCGGCUCUGUUGGGCUGCUUCCUCCCGCCAGCUCCACCUUGGUCCUCAGUCGCUCCGGCUCCGCCACGGAUCUCUGGAUCUCUGCCUUGGUCGCCAGAGCCCUCAGCUCGACCCUGGCCCCCCGGAUCCUCGGUAUCACCCUGGCUCUUUGGCUCUCCAUCUCCGCCUCGGGCUCCUCCUCCACCUGCUCCACCGCCAUUGGUCAGCCCCCUGGAGUGGGCUGCCAUACCUCCUCCAUGGCUCCUCCCACCAUCGGCUCCACCGUGGGCCGCUAUUAUGGCUGUGCCCUGGGUCCUGCUGUGCUCCUCCUUCUGUCUCCCAUUGAUUGUGUUAAUUUGAUUCCAGGUGUGUCUAGUUCUUCCCAAAUCAUCGUGUUUAAAAGCCCUAGUCCUUUCGGUCAGUGUUUGUUGGUUCUGAACGUCCUUCCAUGUGUUCCAUGUGUCUCCUAUGUUCCCCUUGUGAUUGGAUUAUUAAAGACUGUGAUAUUGAACUCCUUGUACCUUGCUCUCCGAGUGUAUUGUGACAUAUAACUAAUUUUUACAAAUGCGGAUGUCCCUGGAUGUCCCCAAAACGUGUGUAUUUAGAUCACUUACAAACCUGUCCUCAAAAUACUGAAGGUACACACACACUUUUUUUUUAUCCCC